AUGUCGGUAAUUAAAUGGGAGGAAAGGAGGAACGCUCACGCAGAGCUCAACGCCAUGAAGGAAGAGGCUGAGAAGAGCAAGCGGCGGCAGGAGGCCAUCUUGUCCGAGAAGGAUCGGGAGCUCUUGAGGUUGCGUGCGACCAUCUCUGCUUUAGAGGCUGAGCUGUGUGACAUGGAAAGGCUGCAGGGGGAAUACAAGCACCAGCUGGAGAGGCAGCAGGAUGAGGCCUUGCGAGAGAAGGAGAAAGAAUUAUUGCAAUUGCGGGAGGCGCUGGAGUGUGAAAAGCAACAAGUACUGCAAGAGGUGCAGAGCACUCUGCUUCAGGAGAGAAAGAAGUGGGAAGCAGAAGCGAGGGCUGCCCUCCAGAUGCAGCGGGAGGCUCUGCUAGAGAAGGACCGGAGGAUGCAGGCUGACCUCCGGGUAGCCCUGGAGGAAGAGAGGAAAACUGCCCUUGCUUUGCGGGACGAAACAGCCAACCUCCACGCGGUAAGAAUCACGGAGACGAAAACCGCUCAGAAAGGGAGCCCCAUAAGACAGUUGGGGCCUUUGUCCAGACGUUCAAGCGCCGUGUCCCAAAAGGAGUUGCAGGGCAUCCUCGCAGAGCUUGGGAAAAUGGACUGCGUUGAACGACCGGCCCUGGGCAUCCCACAGCCACAAAAGGCAAGCUCUCCGAAGCUCUGCCGGUUCUCCCCCUUCUGCCCUGCGCCUGUGACACAUCCCCACAACCCUCUGUGGGUUGGAGGACAACAUUGUACAUUACGGAGCUGGCUCCACCUGGAUCUGGCUCCUGGCUCAUGUAAACCCCCGAGAUGA
rnacentral:lncRNA from 1 species